AGGAAAUACCAGGCCGUGGCCAAUCGAGGGCCAGAUCAGACAGUUCAACAAAUGCUGUAACUAGCCAGGAGAAGUCAUCAAUGUGAGCUGGAGGGAGCAGGCCAGGCUUCCUGAAAGAAGAGGAUUUGAACUAGACUUUGACAGCGAGGACAAUUGAACCAGAGGCUAAUCACCAGAGAACAAAGAGAGCACUACAAAACAGGGUCUACCUUCAAGGAGCUUAAGACCAACUGGGAAAACAGCUAUGUACUAAAGAGUAUUACAUUCAUUUAUGGUCAUGUCCCAUAACGAGGAACUUUUCUGCGAUUAGAGAUAUCCAAGUGGACUAAAGUACUUAAAGCUUCAAAGAGGCAAAACCUGGAUCGAUCUUGAAGAAUGGUAAGAUUUACACAGUUGGAUGAGGACAUGCCAACCAUGAACAUGAUAUCCCGAGUGUACAACGAUGAGUAUCAGGACUGGCCCAUGAAUUUAGGAAAGAAGUAAAUCAAAUCUAUAUCUAAAUGGAAGGCAUUAGAAAUAAAUCAGGAACCUGACUUAAGUGUUACCAGUUAACUGAGCAGAAGUCAAGGAUGAUAUCCGCCUCUUAUAAAACAUGAUUGUACCACGGUGAAAUGAUUGAUUAGCCUCUCUGGCUGA